GUUUGAUCCUGGCUCAGGAUGAACGCUGGCGGCGUGCCUAAUACAUGCAAGUCGAGCGGUAACACUUCGGGUGACGAGCGGCGGACGGCUGAGUAACGCGUAGGAACGUACCCCAGAGUGAGGGAUAAGCACCAGAAAUGGUGUCUAAUACCGCAUAACCUCUUCGGAGAAAAGUCUUCGGACGCUUUGGGAACGGCCUGCGUAUGAUUAGCUUGUUGGUGAGGUAAAAGCUCACCAAGGCGACGAUCAUUAGCUGGUCUGAGAGGAUGAUCAGCCAGACUGGGACUGAGAACGGCCCAGACUCCUACGGGAGGCAGCAGUAGGGAAUUUUCCACAAUGGGCGAAAGCCUGAUGGAGCAACGCCGCGUGCAGGAUGAAUGCCUUCGGGUUGUAAACUGCUUUUAUAUGCGAAGACUUCGACGGUAGCAUAUGAAUAAGGAUCGGCUAACUCCGUGCCAGCAGCCGCGGUCAUACGGAGGAUCCAAGCGUUAUCCGGAAUUACUGGGCGUAAAGAGUUGCGUAGGUGGCAUUGUAAGCAGGUAGUGAAAGCGUGUGGCUCAACCAUACUCACAUUAUCUGAACUGCAAAGGCUAGAGUAUAUGAGAGGUAGCUGGAAUUCCUAGUGUAGGAGUGAAAUCCGUAGAUAUUAGGAGGAACACCGAUGGCGUAGGCAGGCUACUGGCAUAUUACUGACACUAAGGCACGAAAGCGUGGGGAGCGAACUGGAUUAGAUACCCAGGUAGUCCACGCCGUAAACUAUGGGAUGCUAGCCGUGCAGAGUAUCGACCCUCUGCGUGGCGAAGCUAACGCGUUAAGCAUCCCGCCUGUGGAGUACGAGCGCAAGCUUAAAACAUAAAGGAAUUGACGGGGACCCGCACAAGCGGUGGAGCGUGUUGUUUAAUUCGAUGAUAAGCGAAGAACCUUACCCAGGCUUGACAUCCUAGGAAGGUCUCCGAAAGGAGACUGUGCCUUGUGAGCCUAGUGACAGGUGAUGCAUGGCCGUCGUCAGCUCGUGUCGUGAGAUGUUUGGUUAAGUCCAUCAACGAGCGCAACCCUUGUAAGUAGUUGAAUUUUUCUACUUAGACUGCCUCGGUAACGGGGAGGAAGGAGGGGAUGAUGUCAGGUCAGUAUUUCCCUUACGUCUGGGGCCACAAACACGCUACAAUGGCCGGUACAAAGGGCAGCCAACCCGCGAGGGGGAGCAAAUCCCAUCAAAGCCGGUCUCAGUUCGGAUAGCAGGCUGAAACUCGCCUGCUUGAAGUCGGAAUCGCUAGUAACGGUGAGUCAGCUAUAUUACCGUGAAUACGUUCCCGGGUCUUGUACU
rnacentral:rRNA from 1 species